GAGGGGGGGGGUGCUUAUACAUGCAAGUCGAGCGGACAGAUGGGAGCUUGCUCCCUGAUGUUAGCGGCGGACGGGUGAGUAACACGUGGGUAACCUGCCUGUAAGACUGGGAUAACUCCGGGAAACCGGGGCUAAUACCGGAUGGUUGUUUGAACCGCAUGGUUCAAACAUAAAAGGUGGCUUCGGCUACCACUUACAGAUGGACCCGCGGCGCAUUAGCUAGUUGGUGAGGUAACGGCUCACCAAGGCAACGAUGCGUAGCCGACCUGAGAGGGUGAUCGGCCACACUGGGACUGAGACACGGCCCAGACUCCUACGGGAGGCAGCAGUAGGGAAUCUUCCGCAAUGGACGAAAGUCUGACGGAGCAACGCCGCGUGAGUGAUGAAGGUUUUCGGAUCGUAAAGCUCUGUUGUUAGGGA
rnacentral:rRNA from 1 species